UGGAGGGCAAGUCUGGUGCCAGCAGCCGCGGUAAUUCCAGCUCCAAUAGCGUAUAUUAAAGUUGUUGCAGUUAAAAAGCUCGUAGUUGAAUUUCGGGGUUCUACCGUUGGUCGGGCUUUGUCUGUACUGGUGUGUAGAAUUUCUACCUUCUGGGGAACCAUCAUGCUAUUAAUUUAGCGCGGUGGGAAACCAGGACCUUUACCUUGAAAAAAUUAGUGUGUUCAAAGCAGGCUUAUGUCUGAAUACAUUAGCGUGGAAUAAUAGAAUAGGACGGUGGUCCUGUUUUGUUGGUUUCUGAAUCACCGUAAUGAUUAAUAGGGAUAGUUGGGGGCAUUAGUAUUCAAUUGUCAGAGGUGAAAUUCUUGGAUUUAUUGAAGACUAACUUCUGCGAAAGCAUUUGCCAAGGAUGUUUUCAUUAAUCAAGAACGAAAGUUAGGGGAUCGAAGACGAUCAGAUACCGUCGUAGUCUUAACCAUAAACUAUGCCGACUAGGGAUCGGACGAUGUUAAUUUUUCUUGACUCGUUCGGCGCCUUACGGGAAAC
rnacentral:rRNA from 1 species